rnacentral:rRNA from 1 species
CAGGCUUAACACAUGCAAGUCGAGGGGCAUCAGGAAGAAAGCUUGCUUUCUUUGCUGGCGACCGGCGCACGGGUGAGUAACACGUAUCCAACCUGCCCUUUACUCGGGGAUAGCCUUUCGAAAGAAAGAUUAAUACCCGAUGGCAUAAUGAUUCCGCAUGGUUUCAUUAUUAAAGGAUUCCGGUAAAGGAUGGGGAUGCGUUCCAUUAGGUUGUUGGUGAGGUAACGGCUCACCAAGCCUUCGAUGGAUAGGGGUUCUGAGAGGAAGGUCCCCCACAUUGGAACUGAGACACGGUCCAAACUCCUACGGGAGGCAGCAGUGAGGAAUAUUGGUCAAUGGGCGCUAGCCUGAACCAGCCAAGUAGCGUGAAGGAUGAAGGCUCUAUGGGUCGUAAACUUCUUUUAUAUAAGAAUAAAGUGCAGUAUGUAUACUGUUUUGUAUGUAUUAUAUGAAUAAGGAUCGGCUAACUCCGUGCCAGCAGCCGCGGUAAUACGGAGGAUCCGAGCGUUAUCCGGAUUUAUUGGGUUUAAAGGGAGCGUAGGUGGACUGGUAAGUCAGUUGUGAAAGUUUGCGGCUCAACCGUAAAAUUGCAGUUGAUACUGUCAGUCUUGAGUACAGUAGAGGUGGGCGGAAUUCGUGGUGUAGCGGUGAAAUGCUUAGAUAUCACGAAGAACUCCGAUUGCGAAGGCAGCUCACUGGACUGCAACUGACACUGAUGCUCGAAAGUGUGGGUAUCAAACAGGAUUAGAUACCCUGGUAGUCCACACAGUAAACGAUGAAUACUCGCUGUUUGCGAUAUACAGUAAGCGGCCAAGCGAAAGCAUUAAGUAUUCCACCUGGGGAGUACGCCGGCAACGGUGAAACUCAAAGGAAUUGACGGGGGCCCGCACAAGCGGAGGAACAUGUGGUUUAAUUCGAUGAUACGCGAGGAACCUUACCCGGGCUUAAAUUGCAGUGGAAUGAUGUGGAAACAUGUCAGUGAGCAAUCACCGCUGUGAAGGUGCUGCAUGGUUGUCGUCAGCUCGUGCCGUGAGGUGUCGGCUUAAGUGCCAUAACGAGCGCAACCCUUAUCUUUAGUUACUAACAGGUUAUGCUGAGGACUCUAGAGAGACUGCCGUCGUAAGAUGUGAGGAAGGUGGGGAUGGCGUCAAAUCAGCACGGCCCUUACGUCCGGGGCUACGCACGUGUUACAAUGGGGGGUACAGAAGGCAGCUAGCGGGUGACCGUAUGCUAAUCCCAAAAGCCUCUCUCAGUUCGGAUCGAAGUCUGCAACCCGACUUCGUGAAGCUGGAUUCGCUAGUAAUCGCGCAUCAGCCACGGCGCGGUGAAUACGUUCCCGGGCCUUGUACACACCGCCCGUCAAGCCAUGGGAGCCGGGGGUACCUGAAGUACGUAACCGCAAGGAUCGUCCUAGGGUAAAACUGGUGACUGGGGC